ACGGAGCGGCCAGUCCCUCGGGGCUGGUCUUUUACUCGCAGUCAGUGACGCGUGAAUUGUAUCAACAGCGGCUUCGGGUCGGUGUCUGGUGCUGGCUGAGGAGCUGGUGGGCGCAGGGGCUGUGAGAGGAGGGGCGCGUGUGCCCCGGAGGUGGGAGGACCCCAGCCCGCCCCAGACACAGCGAGGGAGGCUGAAGGGGUGCGAGGAGCGGGUCAGGCCUGCGUGCUGGCCGUCCAUGGUCCAUGGUAAACAUGCGGCGAUCAGCAUUGGCGGGGGCACGUCUUCCGCCUGGGCCAAUCUGUACGGCCCGGAGGGGAGGCGGGGGCAGGUCAGCCGAGUGACCUCGGCGUCCUGAGUCCCUGGCAUGGGGCAUGGACAGGGGUCCCCGGAGGCUGGGCGCCACAGCAGGCGGGCUGGGAAGCGCCCGCCCUGUGCGGUCUCCUGCCCUAACCAGGGCACGGAGCACCUGCCCUGCAGGGGGCGCUGCUGUGCAGGGGGGCAUUGGGGGCGUGCGUGUCACACUCCACUCGGUUCCGGCCACAGACACGGGGCCUGGCGGGCGCUCGAAAGCCGGGGCCUGUGCUCGGGGAAUGGGCAUGAAGUCGGAGCCAGUGGAGGUGGCGCAGGGGAGUCGGCGGGGUGGGCCUCGCAGGGCGUGACCGCCCCGCGGCCGUCCUGGCGGCGGCUCAGUCUACGUGGUGACCCCGAGCUCCCCAGUUUCCAGGAUUGGGGAGAAAGCUGCCUGGGAGCCAGUGUGGACCGGGCACGCGACGGAGCGCGUCGCGCCCGAGGAAGGGGAGGCGGCCAGCGUCCUCGGCCUGUGGGAUCCCGGGGCAGGCGGCCGCCUCGGGCCCCCGCGCCCCAAGUCCUGUCCCGUGGCGGGGGGCUGAGCUCCGGCGAGAAGGGAGGCCACACCGGGGUGGCCACGUCCGGCGCGAGGCGGGAGGGGAAUGCGCCGCACCUGCGCGGGCCAGGGCGCCGCCGCGGGCUGAGACCGGGCGCACCUGGCGUCGGUGCGCAGCGUGACGUGGGGACGAGGCGCCCCUACCCGAGCUCGGCGCUGGGAAGUGGGGUCCACACCGCCGUCCUCACUCGCGCUGCCCAGCAGCUCCCUUUGCUGUCCUCACGGGCCAGGAUCCCACCGGGCCGCAGCCGCCCCUGCCGCCCUCCUGGGGCUCCCCGGGCAGCGCCACGGUCCCGCGCUCGGCCGCGCCCAGCUCCAGCAGCCGCGCCCGCAGCGCCUCGCGCUCGGCCUGCAGCUCCCGGCUCGCCCGGGCCACGGCUCGCUCCGCCUCCCGCAGCGCCCGGUGACCCGCGCUCCAGGGCGCGCUCGCCCCGCGCCACGGCCGCCUCGCGCCGCUCCAGCUCGCGCUCGCGCCGGCUGCCACGCAUGGCCAGCGCGCCCAUCUGCUCCAGCAGGCGCGCCCAGUCGCCCUCGGCGCGCUCGGCCGCGGCUCCCGCUCCGCCUCCCGCUCAGCCAGCUCCGCGGGGCGUCAGAUGGCGGGCACGGAGCCUGUAG
rnacentral:lncRNA from 1 species